UGCAGUCGAGCGGACAGAUGGGAGCUUGCUCCCUGAUGUCAGCGGCGGACGGGUGAGUAACACGUGGGUAACCUGCCUGUAAGACUGGGAUAACUCCGGGAAACCGGGGCUAAUACCGGAUGCUUGAUUGAACCGCAUGGUUCAAUUAUAAAAGGUGGCUUUUAGCUACCACUUACAGAUGGACCCGCGGCGCAUUACCUAGUUGGUGAGGUAACGGCUCACCAAGGCAACGAUGCGUACCCAACCUGAAAGGGUGAUCGGCCACACUGGGACUGAAACACGGCCCAAACUCCUACGGGAGGCAGCAGUAGGGAAUCUUCCGCAAUGGACAAAAGUCUGACGGACCAACGCCGCGUGAGUGAUGAAGGUUUUCGGAUCGUAAAACUCUGUUGUUAGGGAAAAACAAGUACCGUUCGAAUAGGGCGGUACCUUGACGGUACCUAACCAAAAAGCCACGGCUAACUACGUGCCACCAGCCGCGGUAAUACGUAGGUGGCAAGCGUUGUCCGGAAUUAUUGGGCGUAAAGCGCGCGCAGGCGGUUUCUUAAGUCUGAUGUGAAAGCCCCCGGCUCAACCGGGGAGGGUCAUUGGAAACUGGGGAACUUGAGUGCAGAAAAGGAGAGUGAAAUUCCACGUGUAGCGGUGAAAUGCGUAGAGAUGUGAAGGAACACCAGUGGCGAAGGCGACUCUCUGGUCUGUAACUGACGCUGAGGCGCGAAAGCGUGGGGAGCGAAACAGGAUUAGAUACCCUGGUAGUCCACGCCGUAAACGAUGAGUGCUAAGUGUUAGAGGG
rnacentral:rRNA from 1 species